GGGGAAUAUUGCACAAUGGGCGCAAGCCUGAUGCAGCCAUGCCGCGUGUAUGAAGAAGGCCUUCGGGUUGUAAAGUACUUUCAGCGGGGAGGAAGGUGUUGUGGUUAAUAACCGCAGCAAUUGACGUUACCCGCAGAAGAAGCACCGGCUAACUCCGUGCCAGCAGCCGCGGUAAUACGGAGGGUGCAAGCGUUAAUCGGAAUUACUGGGCGUAAAGCGCACGCAGGCGGUCUGUCAAGUCGGAUGUGAAAUCCCCGGGCUCAACCUGGGAACUGCAUUCGAAACUGGCAGGCUUGAGUCUUGUAGAGGGGGGUAGAAUUCCAGGU
rnacentral:rRNA from 6 species